rnacentral:lncRNA from 1 species
GCUUGCUGAAGAGAAACAUCUGUUUUAGCUAUGUUUGAUUUGUGCCAUUAGUUUUCUUUGUUUGCAUUGCACCAGUUGUUGAAGUAGUAGGAAAAACUCUGUAAAGUCUGACUAAUUCUCUUACCUUAUCUUGUCCGGUUAAACCAAUAUUAAUCAAUUCCGGUUCGGUCUGCUACAUAUUUCUGUGGGGCUAUCUUUGCAACAUUCGAUUUGCAGCUUGGGAUGGUGAUCAAUAAGUUAUAUAAUUAAGCUAGCAUCAUAUUUCUUGUCAUGAGAUCAUAGUAAUGCUCUACCUUUCCUUUACCAGAUUUUGUUAUGCAUUUGGCUCUUACAUGAGAGUCGUUUACUCUUUUAUAUUUCAGGUAUGGAUCGUCUUUAAAGUAUCUAGCUGGAUAUUGGAAUAAUAUUGGUUGCUCUGUCACCAUCUCUCGGCAAGUACAAUAUAUCUCAAAGUUUAAAGUCUUGACGGAUCCAUUCACCACCCAUCAAUCUAUGGAGAAUUUUUUUUAACAUUCAUCUUUGUUCUCUCUUUCUCAGCUUUGGCAGUUGGCACGAGCCUAGUCAUUGUCGUGCAGCUAUUCCGUCUCUCUUCCCUAAAACCUAAUAAAACGUUAGUCUAAGACGAUAGACUAAUAUAGAUACUAAAAUGUAGCUUAUCAAAUAUCAACAUACUUCUUAUAAUUUUUGUUAAAUUUUUAAAAAUCUUUUGGGUAGAGGAGGAAGCAAAGAACAAAACAAGGCUAAUUUUUUUUUCUUUUUUACCAAGGCUAAGUUAGUGAACACUCUCAUGGGUCGUGGCAGGGCUGGAGAUACGUAUGAGCACAUUCAUCCUCGGUUUUGCGUAUGUGAAGCUUUGUGAUUUCAUUUUUACACACAAAAAACAUUUAUUUAUCCAUUACAAGUUUGUAAGUUGCAUGUAAUAUUGGAUAUCUGUAUAUAAUUUCUUUUUAUAUGACAAACUAUAUUACCGUUAACCUGUUAAAUGAAAAAACUGCCCUUUUGGGCAUGAUGAUGAUGACUCAUGUUGAUUGAUGUAGUAAUCGAAAUGUUGGGAUCAUGACUUGGAAAACCAGAUAUGGAUUGAGCUCUUUUCUCAGGAUCUUUUGGGCUUUGGGCUAGCCUUUCAAUUUUGUUAAAAGCAAAAGGUUGGUGUUUUAAGGUAAUGAAAACAUUAAAAUGAGAAGUAUGAGAUAACAAUUAGGAAUGAACUGCUCAUGCUUUAAUAGUUAGUGAUUACUAGAAACACAAUAGAAACUAAACCUAAUUCAAUAAAAAGGACCGGUAUGGAGAAGACCAAGGCGUUAUGGCUUACAGUAAAAGUCUGACUGGUAUAACCACAACAGCUGCGGGAGCUUGCGAUGCAGGUAGUUGCGGUUUUAAGAGAUUUGUACGACUAGUACUGCGGUUAGAAAUUGGUGCGUUUGCGAGAUACUUAUGACUGAUUAGCCACCAAAUACAACAGUGGUUAAAUAAUAAAUUAACAAUAUUUACAUUUUAUAUAAUUAUAAAAAUAUUAAACAUCAUAAUAUUAUAUAAAUAUAAAAUUAUAUUUUUAAAAUUAUAUUUUUAAAUUUUUAAAUUUUUAAAAAUUAUAAAAAUAUUUUAUUUUAAAAAUUUAUAAUAAAAAUUAAAAUAUAAUAGAUAUAUCUUUAGUAUUUCUAUUAUUUUAAUUUAAAAUUUUUAUUUUUAUUUUUGUAUUUUUAUUGUUUUUAAAAAACAAAAAAAAAAACAAAUUUUACCCUCCCGCAACCGUAAACGCUAGCUGGAACCAACUUUUGAAUUUAAGAGGUUUAAAAUAGUUUGAAUAAGCGAUUUAGAGCGGUUUGAGUGAUUGUUACAAAACGCCAAUAAUAACUACUAACCGUAAAAGCUGCGUUUGCGGAUGGUAGCGGAAAAACCAGUCAUGCCCUAAAUAAUUCCUAACAUUUUAAAUCAAGAAAACCUGUUACCAAUUAUUGUUUGGUUGUUUGAUUUAAAAUCAACUCACAAAUUUGAUUCAAAUGAUACAGUGUCACUUUAGCAUAUAUUUCAAUUCUAACAACCAUAAUAAAUGCAAAUGGAUUAAUUUUCUUAAAUUAAUCAAAUUUUAAUUAAAUCACAAAUAAUAUUUCUGCAAGAUUUUAAGAUUUUUUUUGGUUUUUUGUUCAUUCUAUAUUAUUUACGUAUUCAUCACCAUAUUGUCAUAAUUUUUUUUUACUGAUAUAAAAACUACACAAUUGAAAAGAGAUGAAAAGACUUUCCUAGCAAUAUACAUGGAUCAUAAACUCGUUAAACCCAACUUUGAGGAACUAAAUAUAGUUUUAUAUGUUGUUAUUUGGUCAAAGAACAAAAAUGGACAAACAUAUCUAUUUAUGGUACUGUUUACAAUUAUCUUUAGUCAUGACUAGAGACCAAAUCAAUAGUUGUUAGCUAUACUCCUAAAAAUAGCUAUACUCCUAAACAUAGAUGGGUGCUUGUAUUUUAAUCCAAUCGAAAUUUGUCAAAAUUUAUCGUAAAUCAAAUUAAUGUGUGAUAUUUGAAAAAAAACGAUGAACCUAUAAGAGAAAAGUGACAUCUUAAAUCUCAAAAACAUUAAAAGAAUCAUAUUGAACACGUCUAGUUACAGUAAUCCAUGAUCUGGUCAAAAUGAUCUAAAAUUAGUUUAGUGUUCUAUUUGUGGUAAUGUAGAUAAAUAUCUUAGCCAUGACCAAAUCAAUAGUUCCCAGAUUCGCAAACUCUACUCCUUAAGAUAGAUGGGUGUUUGUUCUGUACCAUUAUUAUACAAGCUAGUCAAAUGUUAUCAAUACAUUUGUUAGUAAUUAGUAUGUAUUAAAUAAUUAAAAUAAAAUAAAAAUGAUUAUCUUGAAUGCAUUAAAUUUUAUUUGAUAUGUAAUCAUGAUUAAGUUUUAACCAACAAAUUAAGAUUUUUUGUAAAACUUUAAAAUAUUAAAUUAUGUGACUUCCUUAUAACCAUUCUAUAUAUAAUAAUUUUUUUUUGAGAAAAUAUAUAUAGUUAUUUAACUUCUAAAACCAGUAUAAUAUCAUAUUAAUAUUGUUUAUUAUUCAUAAAUAUUUUGAUAUUAUAUAUGUUAAUAUAUUUUUAAAUAAUACAUUCUAAGAGGUACGUUUUCAUUAAAAAAAUGUUAUCAAUAUCUUAGACCAUUUGUAUUAUUUCUAUAAUCUAAAAUUAUAACAUAUACGAUUAUUAUGGUCUAAGGGUUUAUAAAAAAGUUUGGUUCGUUACACCUUUCAGUUUUUUUUUGUGUGUUAUAGAACUAUAUGAAUCAUCUAGUUCCAGACUCAUUGAGACAUGUUAUUUCAUCCUGAUUUUUUUAUGGUGUAUAAAAAAGCAACUACUACUGUGAAAGAGACAUCAUCAUCCUGAAAUAUGAGCCUAUAAAACACACACAAACAAGUAAAAAUACAAGAGAAGAAAGAAAAUUGUAAGUCUUUUCAUAUUAAAAAUAAAUAAUUAAGUCAUUUUCUCAUCUAUAAAUACCUUAGACACACUCUUCAGAUCGAAUCGAUUUUCCCCUCACCAAUCCUCUCGAUCAUUGGAGGAAACUAAAAGGGAAAAAAAAAUCGACAUAAGAAUAAAAACAAUUUCCCUUAAAAAUAAGGAAAUGAUAAACUUUGAAGAAAAUAUACAAAACACCAUCUCUCUCACUUAAAGCCCCUAGAGAAUCUAAUCCUCCCAUUAUUCUUUUAAGGAUCGGUGAUUCUCUAAAAAGGUAAACGCACGAGCAUGGCGGCCGCGGUUGCGACGGGGGUUGCACCGUCGACAAUGAUUGAUCAAGUUCCGAGUCCGACGGCGGCUCAGACUUCGGUUCAGGUUUCGGUUUCGGUACCGGUUCAAUCUCCAGUGGUUGCGGCUGAUCAAACGCAUCCGAAUUCAUCGCUCUACGUGGGAGAUCUAGACCCGAGAGUGGCCGAAGCACAUCUGUUCGAUCUGUUCAAACAUAUCGCUAGUGUUGUCUCGGUACGAGUCUGUCGCGAUCAGAGCCGUCGAUCUUUGGGAUAUGCCUACAUCAAUUUCAGUAACCCUAAUGAUGGUAAAAUACACGUUACUCUAUCGCUUCAUGCUCGAGUUAGGGUUUCAUGUAAUCAAACACUCUCAUGAAUUGCAUUACAAUAAAGAGAAUUAUACUAUUCACACUAGUAUUACGAUCAUCGUUUUUUUUCACCUUUUAAUAAUUAUAUUUGCGAAAACUUCAUAUACAUAUUCUUUUUUUUGUUCUUUAAAAAAACUUCAUAUUCUACUAUUCAUGCAAAUCACUAUGUUCCAAUGUAGCGUUUUGUUAGACCUGCUAUUUAAUUAUAGUCAGUAUAUUGUAACACUGAUGCAUCAUUGACAUGUAUCGUUUGAAUACAGGAGCAUUCGUAGAUGUUGCCCAUGCAACUUUUCUAUAAAGAUUCUUUCAAUAGGAAAAAAAGAACUUUUCUAUAAUGAUAUGCUUGACAAAAACGUGAUUAAUUAGUGUGUUUGGGCCUUAUAUAUGUCAUCGCAGAUGCAAGCUAGUCUUUUACUUUUACAAUAACGAUCUUAUAUAUUUCUAAGCUAUUUAUAUAUGAUUGGUUAACUAAUAAAGGUGAGUUAUUUUCCUAGCUAUCCGCGCAAUGGAGGCCUUGAACUACACUCCCCUCUUCGACAGGCCCAUCAGGAUCAUGCUCUCGAACCGUGACCCCAGCACGCGAAAGAGCGGCAAAGGUAACAUUUUUAUCAAAAGCCUAGACGCCUCUAUCGACAACAAGGCCUUGUUCGAAACCUUUUCGAGUUUCGGAACCAUCCUCUCAUGCAAAGUUGCAACUGACGUGACCGGACAGUCCAAGGGAUACGGGUUCGUCCAGUUCGAGAAGGAGGAAUCUGCUCAAGCAGCAAUUGACAAACUAAACGGAAUGCUAAUGAACGACAAGCAAGUAUACGUGGGACACUUCAUCAGACGCCAAGAACGCUCUCGGGAAGAAAACGCCCCUACGCCGCGUUUCACUAACGUGUACGUCAAGAAUCUCCCCAAGGAGAUUGGUGAGGACGAGCUAAGGAAGACGUUUGGUAAAUUUGGAUCGAUUUCGAGCGCGGUUGUGAUGAGGGACCAGAGUGGAAACUCGAGGUGUUUCGGGUUUGUGAACUUUGAGUAUGCCGAAGCAGCGGCGCAAGCCGUUGAGAAGAUGAAUGGGAUUAGCUUAGGGGAUGAUGUGUUGUUCGUUGGGAGGGCGCAGAAGAAGUCUGAGAGAGAGCAAGAGCUGAGAAGGAAGUUUGAGGAAGAGAGGAUGAACCGGUUUGAGAAAUCUCAAGGAGCAAAUCUGUAUUUGAAGAAUCUUGAUGAUAGCGUUGAUGAUGAGAAACUCAAGGAGAUGUUCUCUGAGUUUGGAAAUGUAACCUCUUCCAAGGUAAUAGCAAAAAAAAUGCAUGCAAAUAUCUUUUUUUUAUUGAUGUUACGUUUGUGUUUGAACACAACUCCUCUAAUAAUAUGUGAAAGGUUAUGGUUAAUCCACAAGGAAUAAGCAGAGGGUUUGGUUUUGUUGCUUAUUCCAAUCCUGAAGAAGCUUCAAGAGCCGUGAGUUGCCUAAAGCUUUUUUACUCUUCUCUUUUGACAUCUGAGAUAUGAAGUAAUAUUCUUGUCUUCUUAUCUGCUUUUUAUUUUAGUUUCUAGUCUAUAUGUUUGUGUCUGUGUGUGUGCUUUAGAUUUGGGACACUGCUGGGCAAGAGAGGUUCCAGAGUCUUGGUGUUGCUUUCUAUAGAGGUGCAGAUUGUUGUGUGCUUGUUUAUGAUGUUAACUACCUCAAGUCAUUUGAUUCUCUGGACAAUUGGCACGAGGAGUUUCUUAAGCAGGUUCUUUUGCCCUUUCUACCUUUUUCUCCAAUUUUUUUUUUCUGGAAGAUUUUUCUUCUGUGAGUGAAUCUUGAAUGUUUUCUUAGGCUAGCCCACGGGAUCCAACGGCCUUCCCGUUCAUAUUGCUUGGUAACAAGGUUGAUAUUGAUGGAGGAAACAGUCGAGUGGUAAGUCAGCCUUGGCUUCUUAAUAUAGACAAAACUGAAAAGAUGAGGAAGUAAUAUUGUUAUUCUUAUGAAUGAUAUAAUAUGAUUACUAUAACAACUGAAAAUGUUUUGUAAUAACGAGUGUUAUGUUCCUUGCAUAUAUUAACUUCAGGUAUCAGAGAAGAAAGCUAGAGAAUGGUGUGCUCAAAAGGGAAACAUAUGCUAUUACGAGACAUCGGCUAAAGAAGAUUACAAUGUAGAUGAAUCGUUCUUGUGCAUCACAAAACUUGCCCUUGCCAAUGAGCGCGACCAAGAUAUGUAAGCAAGCCUCUUAUUAUCCUAAGGCUUAAAAAAAAGGAUUCUAAAAGGGGUCGUGCUCGUGGAUGAUGAAACUGUUCCAUUAAAACAUUUUUCUUUGAUUUGGCAGAUAUUUUCAGGGGAUUCCAGAGUCUGGUUCAGAGCCUGAGCAAAGAGGAGGAUGUGCUUGCUGAAGAGAAACAUCUGUUUUAGCUAUGUUUGAUUUGUGCCAUUAGUUUUCUUUGUUUGCAUUGCACCAGUUGUUGAAGUAGUAGGAAAAACUCUGUAAAGUCUGACUAAUUCUCUUACCUUAUCUUGUCCGGUUAAACCAAUAUUAAUCAAUUCCGGUUCGGUCUGCUACAUAUUUCUGUGGGGCUAUCUUUGCAACAUUCGAUUUGCAGCUUGGGAUGGUGAUCAAUAAGUUAUAUAAUUAAGCUAGCAUCAUAUUUCUUGUCAUGAGAUCAUAGUAAUGCUCUACCUUUCCUUUACCAGAUUUUGUUAUGCAUUUGGCUCUUACAUGAGAGUCGUUUACUCUUUUAUAUUUCAGGUAUGGAUCGUCUUUAAAGUAUCUAGCUG